CUAUCAGCUAGGUUUCCCCCUUUGCAAAGAAACCACUCGGUGCAAUGCAAAAUGCAGCCAGCCUGGGGGGGAAAUAUAACCAAACAAACGUGCUUAAUACAUUUAAAGGGGAAGGACUGGAAAAUCCGAGUGCUGUCUUGGAAUGGAAGAGGAAAAUGACCAUUAAAGCCGUUGGCUCUCCAAGAUCAACUCCGUUAAUCCCACGAGAGAGAGAGAUCGGAAGAGAAAUCAAGAGGAGAGAAAAUAAAUUGGACACCAUACGGCCCUCAGGAAAACCCUAGAUACAAAGCAAGAAGUUGUUGCAGGAUCUGUGGACUUCAAGGUAUUCUAUGGUGUUGCUCAGCCCGUGACUGUGAGGAAGAUGAAGAGGAGGGUAUAGGAGACCGGCAGGGGGGUCAGAAAUAUACUAGUCUCUUCUACAGUUGUACAGCGAUUUAAAAAAAAAGUGUGGCACGUUUGGGUUUUGAAAACCUAAAGCAAGAACAAACAAACAAAAGGAGGGCCCGAUCCCGACAAUACUGAUGCACACGGGUGUCUAUAACCAGCGAUACCGUGGGCUUGCUCACAGGGACACUCAAAGUGACUCCCGUGUGUUUUCAGGAUUGGGCCCUUGAGUGCUCAGCUAUUGGGUAUCAGAUAGCCGAGGUCUCGUCGAAAGAGACGGGACUUGCCACUUAAUAUUGCCAAUGCCUUUAGCGAAUUUCAGUGCAUUAAUAU